AAACUUAGUGAUUGUAUUAGAGCUGUGUGGUGCAGACUGGAUGCCUCCCUCUGUCUAUUCAGGACUGUUGCUGUACUUUUGAUUGGUCUGUCUCCAGCCAAUGAGCUGCAGAGUCUCUAUAAAACAGGAAGUUGUUUGCUGAGCUCUUCCCUGACUCUGAGCUCAUUCAUCUCUUGUUCCAGGUUGUCUGACCUCCAUGAUUGUUGCAGGUUUUCUAUACAAGUCCAGUCCUGUGGAACUUCAUUGUUCACAGGCCACUCCUGGUGACUCUGCUGCUUCCUCAGUGCUUCCCCACUCCUGAGUCCAAGUACUGCCAACCACAAUAAGCUGAGAGUCUAAAGUGGUGGUUGCUGGGCCUCUGUGGUGGUGGAGUCUCCUUCACUG